CAUAAACACAGGUUGUUCUACUACCCACAACCCGCCAGAGAACUACAAGUGAAAAACUUAAAACUCAAAGGACUUGACGGUGUCCCACCCAUACUAGAGGAGCCUGUCCUAUAAUCGAUGCCCCACGUUCUACCUCACCCCCCCUUGCAACCCAGUCUAUAUACCGCCGCCGCCAGCCUACACUGUGAAUGCACCACCGUAAGCAAAAUCAUCCACACAUAAAAACGGCAGGUCAAGGUGUAGCUAAUGGGGGGGGCACCGAUGGGCUACAUUUUCCUAACUGGAAAACACCAACUGCACCAUGAAACCCUCGCAAUAAAAGGUGGAUUUAGAAGUAAACCCGGUAACCAUGCCGACUUGAAUAAGCCCC
rnacentral:rRNA from 1 species